CACACGCUCCUUAGAUCCUUCGCCAGGGUUUCGCUCGGCUUCGGCCUCGUACCCACCAACUUAACCGGUUGUCCAUUGGCGCAGAAUGAGUCAUUGGCGUGUUAGAUUAUCUACUCU